rnacentral:rRNA from 1 species
UACGGGGGGGGCAAGCGUUGGUCGGAAUUACUGGGCGUAAAGGGUUCGUAGGUGGCUGUCUAAGUCAGACGUGAAAUCCCUCCGCUCAACUGGGGAACUGCGUCUGAGACUGGACAGCUCGAGUGCAGGAGAGGAACGCGGAAUUCCAGGUGUAGCGGUGAAAUGCGUAGAUAUCUGGAGGAACACCGGUGGCGAAGGCGGCGUUCUGGACUGCAACUGACACUGAGGAACGAAAGCCAGUGGAGCGAACGGG